AAUAUACUCCCUCCGUUCCAAAAAAACUUAGAUUUGUCUAGAUAGGGAUGUAUCAAGUCACAUUUUAUUAUUAGAUACAUUUGUAUCGAGACAAAUGUAAGACAAAAAAUUUAGGACGGAGGGAGUAUAUG
rfam:Triticum aestivum genome assembly, contig: Triticum_aestivum_CS42_TGACv1_scaffold_621608_7DS